ACUAGAACACACCCGCGAAAUCGCGGGGAAGUAGAGCGUACGUAAACUGUAAAAAAAAUAUACUGACUGGAGAAUUUCAGGAGAGAUAUCAAAAGUCAAAGGUACUUAGGGACUGGGCACAUUUUUUGCCCUCCCCCUAUUUUCCAAAUACCGAUUUUUAUACCUUCUGUUUAUCUGUACUCUAUGAACAUGCAUUUAUACUUUAAUUACUAUACAGAGAGAGGUAUCAAAAGUCAAAGGUACUUACAUAUAACUCGUCUAAACAUCAACC
rnacentral:lncRNA from 1 species